CCUACGGGUGGCAGCAGUGGGGAAUAUUGCACAAUGGGGGAAACCCUGAUGCAGCGACGCCGCGUGAGUGAAGAAGUAUUUCGGUACGUAAAGCUCUAUCAGCAGGGAAGAAAAACCGGCCUUAGGGCCGCCCGACGGUACCUGACUAAGAAGCACCGGCUAACUACGUGCCAGCAGCCGCGGUAAUACGUAGGGGGCAAGCGUUAUCCGGUUGUACUGGGUGUAAAGGGAGCGUAGACGGCUGCGCAAGUCUGAAGUGAAAUGCCGGGGCCCAACCCCGGAACUGCUUUGGAAACUGUGCAGCUGGAGUGCAGGAUAGGUAAGUGGAAUUCCAAGUGUAGCGGUGAAAUGCGUAGAGAUUAGGAGGAACACCAGUGGCGAAGGCGGCUUACUGGACUGUAACUGACGUUGAGGCUCGAAAGCGUGGGGAGCAAACAGGAUUAGAUACCCCUGUAGUC
rnacentral:rRNA from 1 species